UACGUAGGGUGCGAGCGUUAAUCGGAAUUACUGGGCGUAAAGCGUGCGCAGGCGGUUCGUUGUGUCGGCGGUGAAAGCCCCGGGCUCAACCUGGGAAUGGCCGUUGAAACUGGCGAACUGGAGUGUGGCAGAGGGGGGUGGAAUUCCGCGUGUAGCAGUGAAAUGCGUAGAUAUCUGGAGGAACACCGAUGGCGAAGGCAGCCCCCUGUGCUAACACUGACGCUGAUGCACGAAAGCGUGGGGAGCAAACAGG
rnacentral:rRNA from 1 species